AUUGAACGCUGGCGGCAGGCCUAACACAUGCAAGUCGAACGAGUGGCGUACGGGUGAGUAAUGUCUGGGAAACUGCCCGAUGGAGGGGGAUAACUACUGGACACGGUAGCUAAUACCGCAUACCAUCGGAUGUGCCCAGAUGGGAUUAGCUAGUAGGUGGGGUAACGGCUCACCUAGGCGACGAUCCCUAGCUGGUCUGUGAGGAUGACCAGCCACACUGGAACUGAGACACGGUCCAGACUCCUACGGGAGGCAGAAGUGGGGAAAAUUGCACAAUGGGAGAAAGCCUGAUGCAGCCAUGCUGAGUGUAGGAAGAAGGCCUUAGGGUUGUAAAGUACUGUCAGCGAGGAGGCGUUACUCGAAGAAGAAGCACCGGCUAACGCCGUGCCAGCAGCCGCGGUAAUAC
rnacentral:rRNA from 1 species